rnacentral:rRNA from 1 species
GAUGAACGCUAGCGGCAGGCCUAACACAUGCAAGUCGAGGGGUAGAAGGAGCUUGCUCCUUUGAGACCGGCGCACGGGUGCGUAACGCGUAUGCAAUCUACCUUGUACAGGGGAAUAGCCCAGAGAAAUUUGGAUUAAUGCCCCAUAGUAUAUAACCUUCGCAUGUUGGUUAUAUUAAAGUUCCAACGGUACAAGAUGAGCAUGCGUCCCAUUAGUUAGUUGGUAAGGUAACGGCUUACCAAGACGAUGAUGGGUAGGGGUCCUAAGAGGGAGAUCCCCCACACUGGUACUGAGACACGGACCAGACUCCUACGGGAGGCAGCAGUGAGGAAUAUUGGUCAAUGGUCGCAAGACUGAACCAGCCAUGCCGCGUGCAGGAAGACGGUCCUAUGGAUUGUAAACUGCUUUUAUACAGGAAGAAACCCUCCCACGUGUGGGAGCUUGACGGUACUGUAGGAAUAAGGAUCGGCUAACUCCGUG